UCAAGCUGAAAAGAGCGCAAGGGGAAUGCCUUGGCAUCAGGAGCCGACGAAGGACGUGACAAGCUGCGAUAAGCCACGGGGAGGAGCAAAUAUCCGUUAUAUCCGUGGAUCUCCGAAUGGGGGAACCCGCUCAAGCAAUACUUGAGCAUCGUGCGUUGAAUCAAAUAGGCGUACGAAGGGAACGGCCUGAACUGAAACAUCUAAGUAGGGCCAGGAAAAGACAUCAACCGAGAUUCCGCUAGUAGUGGCGAGCGAACGCGGAGGAGGCCAAACCGAGGGACGCAAGUUCUUCGGGGUUGCGGACAGACAUCAAGACCAGAGGUAAUUAAGAGAACGGCGUGGGAAAGCCGGCCAUAGAAGGUGAGAGCCCUGUAUCUGAAAAUGAAGACUGGCAGUCUGGAUCCAGAGUACCGCGGGACACGUGAAACCCCGUGGGAAACCGGGUGGACCACCAUCCAAGCCUAAAUACUACCUGAUGACCGAUAGAGGAGCAGUACCGUGAGGGAAAGGUGAAAAGGACCCCGGGAGGGGAGUGAAAGAGAACCUGAAACCUUGUGCUUACAAGCACUCAAAGCACGUUAAAGUGUGAUGAGGUACUUUUUGUAGAACGGUCCGGCGAGUUAUAGUAACGAGCAAGCUUAAGGUAUUCAGUACCGGAGGCGAAGCGAGAGCGAGUCUGAAUAGGGCGCAUAAAGUUCGUUGCCAUAGACCCGAAACCGGGUGACCUAACCAUGAGCAGGCUGAAGUGAGAGUAAAAUCUCAUGGAGGGCCGAACGCACGUUCGUUGCAAUGACCGGCGAUGACUUGUGGUUAGCGGAGAAAUUCCAAUCGAACUCGGAGAUAGCUGGUUCUCCCCGAAAUAGCUUUAGGGCUAGCGUUGAUUUAGAUUACCGGAGGUAAAGCACUGAAUGGGCUAGGGGGCGAUAAGCUUACUGAACCCUAUCAAACUCUGAAUGCCGGCUAAUUGAUGAUCAGCAGUCAGACAGUGUGAGAUAAGUUUCAUUGUCAAAAGGGAAACAGCCCAGACCUACAGCUAAGGUCCCAAAUGUAUGCUAAGUGGAAAACGAUGUGGAAUUGCGAAAACAACCAGGAUGUUGGCUCAGAAGCAGCCACACAUUAAAAGAGUGCGUAAUAGCUCACUGGUCGAGUGACGUUGCGCCGAAAAUUAACGGGGCUCAAACCUGACACCGAAGCUUAGGAAUACCGUAGGGUAUUGGUAGAGGAGCAAUGUAUACGAGCAGAAGCCGUACCGGAAGGAGCGGUGGAUUGUAUAGAAGAGAGAAUGCCGGCAUAAGUAGCGAGAGCGGAGCGAGAAACUCCGCCGUCGAAAGUCUGAGGUUUUCCGGGGAAGGUUCGUCCGCCCGGAGAAAGUCGGGACCUAAGCGGAGGCCGAAAGGCGUACGUGAUGGACAGCAGGUUGAUAUUCCUGCACUACCGAGAGAGUAAAUGAAGCAAUGACACGGAAAGAUAGAAGAAGCGCGCGGAUGGAAAAGCGCGUCCAAGCAAAGAGGGUGGCUGGUAGUAAAGAACGCCAGUCGGAAGCCUGAUUUGUGACGGGGAGUGGACCAAGGAAACGAAGUCUUUGAAUCUACGCCGGCGAGAAAAGUUGCUAAAUAUUUCGAGGUACCCGUACCGCAAACCGACACAGGUAGACGAGAAGAAAAUUCUAAGACGAACGGGAGAACCCUUGUUAAGGAACUCGGCAAAACGACCCCGUAACUUCGGGAGAAGGGGAGCCAUCGAGAGAUGGCCGCAGUGAAGAGGCCCAAGCGACUGUUUACCAAAAACACAGGUUUCUGCUAAGGCGAAAGCCAAGGUAUAGGAGCUGACUCCUGCCCAGUGCCGGAAGGUCAAGGGGACUUGUUAGCAGCAAUGCGAAGCAACGAACUUAAGCCCCGGUGAACGGCGGCCGUAACUAUAACGGUCCUAAGGUAGCGAAAUUCCUUGUCGGGUAAGUUCCG
rnacentral:rRNA from 1 species